GACGAGGGCGCGAGCGUGUCCGGAUUUAUUGGCGUAAAGAGCUCGUAGGCGGCUUGUCGCGUCGAAUGUGAAAACUCGGGGCUCAACUCCGAGCUUGCAUUCGAUACGGGCAGGCUAGAGUUCGGUAGGGGAGGACUGGAAUUCCUGGUGUAGCGGUGAAAUGCGCAGAUAUCAGGAGGAACACCGGUGGCGAAGGCGGGUCUCUGGGCCGAUACUGACGCUGAGGAGCGAAAGCGUGGGGAGCGAACAGG
rnacentral:rRNA from 1 species